GUCCUUCUAUUCCCGCCGUUCCCGCCCUAUAUUGGAGACGUCCGGCAACGGACUAUGGAGAUAAACGCGCGUGCAAUAAGCGGACUGGACCCGGGUGCGAUUCCCGGCGGCUCCACCAAAUCUCCUUCCGCGUUAUCGGCGGAGAGCUGAGGGGCCGAUCAGCAUCGACAGACGUCUAAAGGCGUUGCUUUCUCCCGGCCUGGCCCACCGUUUCGGGCUUUAAACUAACUGCGAACGAUAACUUCGCUGAAGGUUACGCUCUCGCCGCGUAAUGCGACGAGAAUGAAACCGAUCUAAAGCCCUAGUGUCUUAGCAGCGCUAGGCGGGGCCCGGGGGGCGCCUGGCAACAGAAGCCCCCCACC
rnacentral:tmRNA from 1 species